rnacentral:rRNA from 1 species
AUUGAACGCUGGCGGCAGGCCUAACACAUGCAAGUCGAACGAGUGGCGGACUGGUGAGUAAUGUCCGGGAAACUGCCUGCUGGAGGGGGAUAACUACUGGAAACGGUAGCUAAUACCGCAUACACUCAGAUGAGCCCAGAUGGAAUGAGCUUGUUGGUGGGGAAACGGCUCACCAAGGCGACGAUCCCUAGCUGGUCUGAGAGGAUGACCGGCUAAACUGGAACUGAGACGCGGUCCAGACUCCUAGGGGAUGUAGCAGUGGGGAUUAUGUCACAAGGGCGCAAGCCUGAUGCAGCCAUGCAGCGUGUAUGAGGAAGGCCUUCGGGUUGUAAAGUACUUUCAGCGGGGAGGCGUUACCUGCAGAAGAAGCACCGGCUAACUCCGUGCCAGCAGCCGCGGUAAUAC